GGAGAUGGGGUUGGGGGUGGGAGACAGUCCUGUGGGCCUGGAUUCUGGGUCACUUGAAAUAGCAUUGCCUGUGGUGAGGACAGUGAGCUCAUGGACAGCAUGAAGAGAGACCCACGGGGAAGCGCCCAACACAGUGCCUGGUGAGCAGGAGGUGCUCAGCUCAGCGGAGAACAGCAAUCACUUCAGACUUUCUUCUGUACCUGCAAUUCAUCCGGAUUUAAAAAAUUAGAUUUGAGAAGAGGAUUUUUACCUAUCAAUACACACAAAAUUGGAAUCUGUGUUCCUGAAAACCUUUACAAUAGAAAGAUCACUGGAUCACUGGUAUAGUCAAGCACUUGGGAGAAGUGUAUUUCAGAUUAAAGGAACCAGAGAAGCUCUUCAAGAGACCAUCUGAGGCCAGAUUAAAGGAGUCACAGAAACUCAUCAGACCACCUGAAGCCAGGCCCUGCACACACCCUGAUCCUUAUCAGCAACCCUGCCUUUGAACCACUGCUAUAAAACUCCUCAUCAAAUCCCUCCGGGUCGGGACACACAGUUUUGAGAGGCACUGAGUCUGCUGUGUUCCCUGCCUGCCUGGCAGAGCAAUAAAGCUGUUCUCUUCUACUC